GCCAAACUUAUGUGGACGACAACAACCUCCUUAUUAUUUUACAUAACAUUCUACACAUGCUGUAUCUGCAUCACACAAUUGACUAUACAUAAAUGCACAAAGGACAUUGUUCAUAUCACACUCUCUGGUGUUUACAAUAAUUUAUAAUCACACUCUCCACUGUCACCCAAAUGAGGAUGGGUUCCCUUUUGAGUCUGGUUCCUCUCAAGGUUUCUUCCUCAUACCAUCUAAGGGACUUUUUCCUUGCCACAGUCACCUCAGGCUUGCUCACUUGAGAUAACAUCUAGGACUGUUUGCCUGUUUAUAUGUUUGUUGUUUCUUAUGUAAAGCUGCUUUGAUGGAACGCUCUUUGUUAAAAGUGCUAUAAAAAUAAAAUUGAAUUGAUUUGAAUGUGCAUGUAAAGGCAGACGUCCCAAAACUUUUGGCUAUAAAGUCGAUAUUACUAUUUGCACAUACUGAACACUUGUAAAUAAAUUACAGUGUUUUCUCUAAGUCAACCUUUAGGGACAUAAUAAUCACAUUGGACGAAGGCGUAUUUGGAAGGAGAACUGCUGGAUGCAGGAGGAUUUGGCUGUGUGUUUGCUGGACUACGCAAAGAAGACGGAUUGCCAGUUGCAAUCAAGUACGUCUCCAAAAAGAUGCCAUAUGAAAAACUGCAGCUUACAGGAUAUGGAUGGCUGCCCAUUGAGAUAGCUUUGAAGAUCCUUGCAAACACAGAACCUUGCUCAAAAAUCCUGAAGAUUCUGGACUGGCACGAAGAGGCAAAGUGAUAUAUCGUACUCCUGGAACAGCCUGAACCAUGUGUGGACCUCGAGGAACUCUCCGGCAAGCAAGGUGGAUGUUUGACUGAGGUCGAGGCUCGCAAUGUGAUGUUUCAGCUGAUGGAAGCACUGAAGCAUUGCAAGAGCCAGGGGAUACUGCAUCGUGAUGUCAAGCCAGAAAACAUUCUGAUUCAGACAGACACGUUUCAAGUCAAGCUGUUUGACUUGAAAGAGACCUCGUCAAAGACCCUUACAGUUACUUUGCAGGUGUCUGAUGUCUAAAUCUAAUGUAUCUUUGUUAACACUUGAAUAUGCCCCUCCUGCUCCUCGAAAGUCUGUCUCAAGGCAAGGAACUAUACUCAAUUUAAUACUUUUGAAAAAGUUUGAUUUUCAGAUUAGGAUGUAAAUUCUCCCAACCAGGAGAGGGUGCUAGUUCCAGCCAGCAGCAAGGUGCUAGGGCGAAAUUGUAAAGCAAUGCACGAUUGAUAUGGCUAAAGCAUUUGGAGAAGAGAAAAUAGUCAAGAACUUUGAGUCUGUAUCUUUGUCCCGCUGAACAGUAACACGUCGAAUUUCUGACUUUCAAUGUCAAAUCUAAGAAAAGCUGAAACUUGCAAUAAACAAUUGCAAAUACUGGCACAGACGUGACAGAUGCCAGUCAGCUCCUGAUCUUUGCAAGAACGAUUACAGAGAACUUUGAUGUUCAAGAGGAGCUGUUAAAGCUUGCUUCAUUACAUGACACCACUUUUUCAGAACUGACACUGAAAAGGGAAAUUAAAAAGUUUUUGGAUUUAGGGUCUCUAGCUUAUAUAAUCAAUGAGAAAAUGAAUCUCAAAUAGCAAGCAUUCUGUUAUUUAGAAAUGAGUUUGUAUUGUGAUUUUCCUUUUGAAUUACCAAAGACCUGAGGAAUUACUGUACAAUGUCUGUUUAAUCAUUGCCUCUCAGUCCUAUGUAGACGUUGUGUUGGAAUGUAAUGUUAAGCUCCAACUCUUCUGCAUUCACGCGUCUCCUGAACAUCUCCCGAUCAGCUACCGGCUCUUUGCGUGUUCGCUCGGCCGAGGUGGAGGGUCAGCGCGCACACAGGAGCAGCAGUGGAGUGAAGUUCUGUGUUGUGUCCGAUCGUCAGUCAAGAGGAGCUGAACAUGCCUUAGAGUUCUUGUACUUGUUGGAUUCUGUAUCACAAGUCAGAGUCUGCUGUUGUGUGGACCACCUGUCUGGCAUUAAACUGACACCAAAACCAGCACAUGUUCACAUGUUCAUAAUUAUACCUGGCUGCUUGAUCUGAAAUUUUUUACAUCACUUAAGUAUGUGGUGGUGUAUUCAUCAAGUGCAAAUGACAGAAAUUUCAAGAAAAUUUUCAUGAUGUACCAAGUUUUUUUUUUUCUUUUUUCUUUUUCCACUCUGUUUCCUUCACCUGUCUGUCUUGUCAUUGAGAACUUUGAAAGGGCUCAAAGUUGAAUGUAAUCCACCAUCUAAUUGUUCAUACUAAU